CUAUACAUGCAAGUCGAGCGAACAGACGAGGAGCUUGCUCCUCUGACGUUAGCGGCGGACGGGUGAGUAACACGUGGAUAACCUACCUAUAAGACUGGGAUAACUUCGGGAAACCGGAGCUAAUACCGGAUAAUAUAUUGAACCGCAUGGUUCAAUAGUGAAAGACGGUUUUGCUGUCACUUAUAGAUGGAUCCGCGCCGCAUUAGCUAGUUGGUAAGGUAACGGCUUACCAAGGCAACGAUGCGUAGCCGACCUGAGAGGGUGAUCGGCCACACUGGAACUGAGACACGGUCCAGACUCCUACGGGAGGCAGCAGUAGGGAAUCUUCCGCAAUGGGCGAAAGCCUGACGGAGCAACGCCGCGUGAGUGAUGAAGGUCUUCGGAUCGUAAAACUCUGUUAUUAGGGAAGAACAAAUGUGUAAGUAACUAUGCACGUCUUGACGGUACCUAAUCAGAAAGCCACGGCUAACUACGUGCCAGCAGCCGCGGUAAUACGUAGGUGGCAAGCGUUAUCCGGAAUUAUUGGGCGUAAAGCGCGCGUAGGCGGUUUUUUAAGUCUGAUGUGAAAGCCCACGGCUCAACCGUGGAGGGUCAUUGGAAACUGGAAAACUUGAGUGCAGAAGAGGAAAGUGGAAUUCCAUGUGUAGCGGUGAAAUGCGCAGAGAUAUGGAGGAACACCAGUGGCGAAGGCGACUUUCUGGUCUGUAACUGACGCUGAUGUGCGAAAGCGUGGGGAUCAAACAGGAUUAGAUACCCUGGUAGUCCACGCCGUAAACGAUGAGUGCUAAGUGUUAGGGGGUUUCCGCCCCCUAGUGCUGCAGCUAACGCAUUA
rnacentral:rRNA from 1 species